AUCUACCGCUGCCAAUCUACCUACCACUGCCAAUCUAUCUAUCACUGCUAAUCUAUUGCUGCUAAUCUAUCGCUGCUAAUCUAUCGCCGCCAAUCUAUCUACCGCUGCCAAUCUAUCUAUCGCUGUCAAUCUAUCUACUGCUGCCAAUCUAUCUAUCGCUGCUAAUCUAUCACUGCUAAUCUAUCACUGCUAAUCUAUCACUGCUAAUCUAUCACCGCUAAUCUAUCUACCGCUGUCAAUCUAUCUACCGCUGCCAAUCUAUCUAUUGCUGCUAAUCUAUCGCUGCUAAUCUAUCACUGCUAAUCUAUCGCUGCUAAUCUAUCACCGCCAAUCUAUCUACCACUGCCAAUCUAUCUAUCACUGCCAAUCUAUAUAGAGUAAAUCAUGGUCUCAUUUGAUUCCAUUUUAUAAAAUGGAAUUAAAUGAAAUCAGAAUCACUAAUUUAUUAGUAAAACAUGAUCUGAGACUAGAUUUAUAAUAUAAACAGUAUAAAGUGACUAAUUUACUAAACACUAUAUGAAAUCAGAACUAAGAUAUCUAAUAAUAGAACUG
rnacentral:sRNA from 2 species